UUUUUAAUGAUGGCGUAUUUUGUAAGUGACAAUGACAUGAGUGCUGAAUGUUAGAAACAACAGUAGCGUGAAAUUAAAAAUUCCUAUCACAGAUCUUUUUACAUUUCAACUUUAGUAUGACGACUUAUAAAUCCCUUUAGGGCCCAUGUCACACACGUUAUAGAAUUGCAAAGAUUUAAAAAAACCUAAUAAAUGAGACUGUAUCAUCAUGUCUAUUUACUAUAUGAAGGGUUAUAAUAGGUAUAAUUGUCAAUGCCCAAGAAAGUUUUACUGAUCUGUAACUCAACGAUAAAACAAUUUUGCCCCGCUAAGCUAAAAAGCAGGAUUUAAAAUGAAAAAUUGAAUGCAAACAUCCUUAAAAUCUUGAUCUGAAAGUGCAAUUUCAAGUUCAUUUGUUUUUGAGAUACAGCCUUUUAGCUUAGGAGGCCACAUGACCAAUCACAUUCGAUUACAAUUCCUGAUUUGUUAGAGCCACACGCAACAUAUGCUCGAUAAUGUAUUAUUUUAAAGAUGAUUUUAAUUAUAAUAAUAUUAAUGAAAUGUAUCUAUUUAUAAUUAUUUAAGAGUUUUAAGACAUUGAAAUGUAAUCUGUCACCGCAUUAAAAUGUAUUUAAGUUUUAUUUUUUACUAAUAAGGGAUAUUAGUACAUAUUAUUUCUUUCACCAAAGACAAUCAUUCAUACGGCAGUAACAUAUUUAUCAUGAUCAUCUCUACAUUUAUCUACUUAGGGUCUGAUUUCAUCGCUCAUUCCUCAUAUUUCUUCCAUUGUCUAUGGUUUUCGAACCCGAAGACAAUAAACUAUAGGAUAAAAGCUAAAGUAAGCACAGAUUAAAUACUAGCGUCGAAGCUGGGCCAAAAGGAAAGGUAUAGUUGGUCAAGCAAAUCUUGUCAGUAAAAAAAGGCGGCAAAUUUGAAAAAUGUAGCCGCGAAAGGAUAUCGUCCCAUAGAAAAUUUGAAUUUCGCGCCUUUUUCUACUGACAAGAUUUGUUUGACCAUCUAUAUAGGUAUAUAUUAUUAUGGUAUUUUAAUGUGUACGGAUCGGUAGUCAACGAGUGUUGUGUAAUACCACCCUAAGUUACCUUUCGCGCUGCUGAAAUGCUUCAAAAAUAGAGAUGAAGUUCGCACAAAAUGUACAAGUUAUAAGGAACUAAUAGGAGAUACUUGUGAACCGUCACUUGAGAAUGAAAAUAUGUAAUACAGUUGCGUCGCGUCGAAUGGUUAUCAAUAGGGAAUAUUAGGCAAAGCUCUGCGUAUAAGGCACCACUGGCACAUACAGUAAACAAACCUCAUUGACAUCAUCAAUGACACAUCAUGCGUCACUAGGUCAAUCACAUGGCCUACCGUGAAACAGGACAAUCGAAAGUUCGUUUUCUGCCUCUAUAUCACUCUUGCUUAUUCGAUCGAUUUAUUUAUUUAGUUAUUUAUUAUACAAUAAGUUACAACUUUUUUGUUAAGGACAAUGCUCCACAAAACUACAUUUUGUUUGACUGUGGAGUCUUACUAUACUAUACUUAAUAAAAUUUGAAUAUUAUAAUAGGUUAACAUUGGGAGUUAAAAUACUUAGGUAAGUAUGUCAUGAAUACUCUGUAGGGUAACACUAUAGAGAGGCAGAUAAAGAAAUUUCGAUAUUCGCGUUUCGCGGUAGGCCAUCUGUAAACAAACCGCCUUGGUGCAUCAGUGUCAUAGUGAAAACUUAUCAAAAAACUGUUUAAGGCCUAGUAUGUAUAAGUUACUCUAUGGUUUACUAAACAAAUUAGUGCUGCACUCUGGCGGCAUAACAUUGCAGUAAUACUCCCAAUUGUAAAAUAAAGUGUAAUGAUGUAAUAAAACUUUGACUGACUAUUGUUACGUAGAGUAAGGUUUACAUGCCAUUCUAUUUUAACGACGCGAUCUCGUAAGAUUCUUGUAAAUAGAUUAAAUACCAAUGAGUUGUAUUUAAUUAGUCGAUUCAAGUCGCUGAUCGGUGCUUAUAUUUUGAAACUGUUCAAGCACCUACUGCUGAUUUCAAGGCCGCAUGUAAGAAAAGUAAUGAAUAUAUCUGAACAAAUGUAAUAUAGUAUCUUUUUGUAUGUCUUUCCCAUCACGGAACAAUGGUGUUCCGGACCUUUGGGAGGCGUGCGCGGAGCCGAAACCAACACGUAGAGGCCCUUUUGACACUUUAAUGAAAUGUAAGGGGUACACCGAGCGGAGGCUGCCCUUGCCAGUGUCAUGGGACGCACGCAGAGGCAGCACCCGCCAGGGUGUAAGGACUAUUGAGAGUUGAUGGAAUCUAAAAUGAACUAGGUUAUUCGGUGAAAGCGAUGGACUAAGAACUGAGCUAUGGGGUAAAAAACCGGACGCCUGCCUAAUAAAACGGUAUGCAAUUUUAUUUCCGGCAGACGGUGACUCGCCCUCACAAGAUGGGCCCCCACAAAAAGCGACAUCUAGGAUGGCUCAAGGGCAACACCGGUGUGAGCGGCUCAGGGGUGUCGAGAGGUGUGCGCCGCUUUCUACCCAGUGGCUGUUAACAGCCACUGUGCCAACUCGCGUCUUAUGCAUAUUUCACUUCCACCCCUGGAGCUUAUAGCUCUAACGACUCCACUCUGGCCGGCCGGCUAAGGCAAGCCAGAGGCAGAGAAUCCUGUCCCACCCACCCUCCUUGCGGGUAACAGAACUCUCCAGGAGCACUCGGGUACGUGAGGCCGCUAAUCCCCAACAGCUCGCCACAAGCUGCCCUGCGUUGACUGAUUGCACUGGUAAAACCAGCGGGCGAUGGGGUCGUCACAUCCCUACGCCUAUAUCUUAAUUAUUAACUAUGAGAUUCAAGCGUUCGCUAAUACUCGUUGAUAACGAAAAUACGCUUGCGGUUUAGCGUAUUAGCUUAUUUUCACGACCUUCAAAAUAUUUCAUAAUACAUACGCCAGCAAGAAUAUUUGACUAUAAACAAGAUCAAUUCGAGUUAAAAUAAUUGUGAGCAGUGCCCUGUUUAUCAAAAGCUUGUAACUUGUAAUACAAGUGGAAGUCCCUUUCUAACAAAAGCUGUCAAAAAGGGACUUCCACUUGUAUUACAAGUUACAAGCUUUUGAUAAACAGGGCACAGGUCGCUCCGAUACUUUUGAAGGCGACUGUACUAAAAGUAUGAAUUGCUAAAGGUUUUUGAUCAAUCACCAUAUAAUGGCCUAUAUAUUACGUCUCGUUUCAUAAAAAAUAAUACGUAGCUCCGUGAAAUUAAAUUUAAUAGUAAAGCUAAUUUGCUAGAUGGCUUGUGUUUAAAGGGAGCUAUACUAUUUAGCGAUACUGAAAAAAAAAAAACUAGAACCGAUCUAAGCUUAUGCGAGGCACAGUUACAUUUGUCCAAUAUUAAGAGAAUUCCUUAACAAACGUUGUUUGCGCUACAUACCCGAAAUAAGGCCCUGAAUGAGAGAGAACUGGUAACUUGUAUGUGUACGUACCUACAUUAUGGCAAAUCAAAAUCUGUCUAGCCCGGAAGUAAAUCAAAGGUUACAAAAAUUUGUUUCUCGUUAUUAAUGCUUCUAUAGCUCCUAUGAUGUAAAACAAAGUCCUGGAUUCCACAUGCCACGGUAAUGAAACGCAAGUUAUCCCUUAAAUCCAUAGAGGCAACAUACUUGCCAUCAUACUUAAAACAAAAACGCAUCUCUACAAUAAGAAUUACGGUUCGAAAUUGAAUAAUUAGAAAAUGAUGUCAAAUGGUUUAAGGGUUAAACUUGUAAAAUACGGACUUUUGUACAAUAUCCGAUGAAAAGCAUCCCCGAGGUUGAAUCUAAAAGACACGUGCAUCCCUAUAUUUGCCUAUUGUUAUCUCUUUCCAUCACUAGAUUUUGAGAAGAAACAGAUUAGAUGAAACCCAAAAUGCGGUAACGCCGUGAUUAAGUAUGUCUUCCGCAGAUGCUUUCCUACGUGUUCUAUAGCGAAUCUCUUAUGACUGUGGUACAAAUGGAUGUGUGCUUUGCAAUAGGUAACAAUAGGGCUACAGUCAAGGAAAUUUAUGUCGGGCAAAAUAUUCAAUUUGGUCAUUAUUAUGUAUAGUUUAUUCCAUGUGGAUCUUUUAUUAAAAGAAAUUAAAAUAAACAUGGUGAUCAGUCAUUCGUGCAAAGUUUUGUACCCUAAGGCAGAAUGGCCUAGUCACGUGGUUUCUUUGUUUACUUUUUUUUAUGAUCCAUGUAGAAUAGAUUAUAGCUGAAAACAUGCAGACAACUAUUUUAUAUAUGAUGUACUCUAGAAUGAGGGUUUCUUGGAAACAUAGGUGCUUUAACAGGUGCCUAAAUUUGACGCUUCAGUGCUGCCACCUAUACUGAAAAUGUUAUUUCUAUCGAUUCACAGCUUCAAUAAUAUGAGUGCGAAAACGAUCGUAACUUAGACGACGUUGAAUGCUGCCUCCUAGUAUCUUAUAGAAUAGAGAUAAACCAUUUUUUAAAUUGCGUUCCUCUGUCCAGAAAACCUACACCUACUCGUAUAUCUAAAGUAAUCUUAGUCUAAAGACUCUAAAGGGAGGGACGAUAUCAGAAUCAGAUAUCAGUUGUUCGGAACUGUCACCUUUUGGGUUUUACUGACAGGCUGAUAUCGUCCAGCGAACUGGUAAUCUGUGGGCCCCUUUAUACAUACUUAAGAUCGGUUUUCCUAGGAUAGCGGUGCCGUCAUAUAGCGGCCGUCUCCAUACUAAAUAAUACGGCAAAAUACAUUAAAGAUAGUAAAGUAGUAGUAUGUUUGACGACCGGUCUGGCCUAGUGGGUAGUGACCCUGCCUAUGAAGCCGAUGGUCCCGGGUUCGAAUCCUGGUAAGGGCAUUUAUUUUGUAUGAUGAUACAGAUACUUGUUCCUGAGUCAUGGUUGUUUUCUAUGUAUUUAAGUAUUUAUAUAUUAUAUAAUUAUAUAUAUCGUUGUCUGAGUACCCACAACACAAGCCUUCUUGAGCUUACCGUGGGGCUUAGUCAAUUUGUGUAAAAAUGUCCUAUAAUAUUUAUUUAUUUAUUAUUAUUUAUUAUGUUUGUUUGUAUUAUUAUUACUUUAGAUGGCGUACGUGCCGUGGAGGGGCGCCGUUUAAAAUAGUUUAACUCUAUUCACAUUUUUAUGAUAUUGUUGUCUGACAAAAAUGACCUUGAUUAUAUGUAUGUACUUACCGCUACCGUUAACCAAUAGAAUAAGAAACGACUGACACGGCUGCGGUCUCUGUUCUGUUUGCUUGCAUCUCUAUCUUCGCUUGAAGCCUUACAGCGACAGUGGCGCUUAGUAUAUAAGAUACGAGUAAUACCGUAACAUAUCACCAAUUAAUAAGUAUAAAAUGUGAAUUUAUCUGACUUGCACUAUAAAUACGGAAAUGUAAUCAUAAUACUGUGUACUUUAUUAUAUGGAUUUACUAAU